AAACCUUUUUCUUCCUCCCUCUCGUGACAUCGAGCAGCAUCGAUCCCUCUUCCUCUCCUCCCCAACUCGACGGCCACCCGAUCAUCUUCCCUAACCCGUCGCAGCUUCACGACGCCUAGCCUUCUCCCCGUAUACAAGACCCCUCUGCCAAGGAAGCCUCGAGCCAAGUCCUCCCAUUCUUCUCCUCCCCUGCCCCGUGCUCUAGGUUUUUCCCCUCUCCCUCUCUUCUGUCGACGCCGCUGACGCCCUCUCCGCAGUCCUCCUCUGCCUCCCAAUCUCUUCCCUUCUCUUGAUCUCCACCCGAACCCAGUCGCGAUCGUCCUCAUUGCGUCGCCUGAGGAGCACGUUGUUAGAUCCCAACAGUAUCGACGGAGUCCAGGGCAUCUUCAGACCAGUGAUUGCUUCUCCGAUGGUUUCUGCGCCGAUCGACGACUGCUCGGUAGCUAGGGCACGGUGGGGGACUGGAUUCACGUCGUCCCCAGCCGAUCUUAGUCCUUUCUCAAAGUUGUUCACAGAGCGAUCCGUGCCUCCCUUCUUGCUGAAUUGGACUGUGAGACACCAUCUGGAAGUGAUUGUUAGAGGGGAAGGUGUCGGAUCAUCCUAUUGCUAUUUUCUUCCCUGAUCAGAUUCUUGGCUCCUCUUUCUUGCGAUUGAUUGGAGUCUCAGAUAAGAGAUGUUGAGGAUCAGUGAGGACUUUGAUUUGAGACGGCAUCUUGAUGUGGGAUCUAUUUUGGAUACGAUCUCCAUUUUGAGGUUGAUGCUGUCGGGAGGUUCCAGUCGCUAGUUCCCCAUCACUUUGUGUCGCGAUGAUUUUUGGUUUACGAACUUGGGUUCCUUGUUUGUGUUGAUAUACUAUGUUGAUUUAUAUACUUGUGAUGUUGGAUUGUACUCGAGGAUUUUAUCGACUUCUAGUCUACUGCAUUUGUUUU